UCAGAUUGAACGCUGGCGGCAGGCCUAACACAUGCAAGUCGAGCGGUAACAUUUCUAAGCUUGCUUAGAAGAUGACGAGCGGCGGACGGGUGAGUAAUGCUUGGGGAUCUGCCUGAUGGCGGGGGACAACCACUGGAAACGGUGGCUAAUACCGCAUAAUACCUAUGGGUCAAAGUGUGGGACCUUCGGGCCACACGCCAUCAGAUGAACCCAAGUGAGAUUAGCUGGUUGGUAAGGUAACGGCUUACCAAGGCGACGAUCUCUAGCUGGUCUGAGAGGAUGAUCAGCCACACUGGGACUGAGACACGGCCCAGACUCCUACGGGAGGCAGCAGUGGGGAAUAUUGGACAAUGGGGGCAACCCUGAUCCAGCCAUGCCGCGUGUGUGAAGAAGGCCUUCGGGUUGUAAAGCACUUUCAGUGGUGAGGAAGGUGGUGUCGUUAAUAGCGGCAUCAAUUGACGUUAGCCACAGAAGAAGCACCGGCUAACUCCGUGCCAGCAGCCGCGGUAAUACGGAGGGUGCGAGCGUUAAUCGGAAUUACUGGGCGUAAAGCGCACGUAGGCGGUAUGUUAAGCAAGAUGUGAAAGCCCAGAGCUCAACUCUGGAAUAGCAUUUUGAACUGGCAUGCUAGAGUUUUGGAGAGGGUGGUAGAAUUUCCAGUGUA
rnacentral:rRNA from 1 species